rnacentral:misc_RNA from 1 species
GGAACAAAACCCUAAUUCACCUCAACCCCAUAUCAGGUAAUAAAACAAAACCAAAUAGUUUAAGUUCAAUUUUCUUUUCUUCCUCUUUCUCUCUUCUGCUGCAACCAUCAAUUUUCAUGAUCCGUGGGCUGUUUAUUCUCUUCUUUACACAUACCAUUUUGCCCAAAGACAAAGUAAAAGCAAGCCUAAUACUGUCUUCUUCGCAGAUCAGAGCUUUAAAGACAAUACUUGGGUACUUUC